ACUAUAAGACGAGAAGACCCCAUGGAGCUUUAAACCCGACUACACCUCCACCUCUUAUACCCACAUAAUCAACGGAGUACUGUACAUCGGUUUUGGGUUGGGGUGACCACGGAGCACAAACUAACCUCCAUGAUGAAUAAGACUAACCCUUUAUCUAAGAGACACACCUCUAAGAAUUAGCACACUAACAUAAAAUGAUCCGAUAUUCGAUCAACGAACCAAGUUACCCUGGGGAUAACAGCGCAAUCCACUUCAAGAGCCCCUAUCCA
rnacentral:rRNA from 1 species